CCGGUAAACGGCGGCCGUAACUAUAACGGUCCUAAGGUAGCGAAAUUCCUUGUCGGGUAAGUUCCGACCUGCACGAAUGGCGUAAUGAUGGCCAGGCUGUCUCCACCCGAGACUCAGUGAAAUUGAACUCGCUGUGAAGAUGCAGUGUACCCGCGGCAAGACGGAAAGACCCCGUGAACCUUUACUAUAGCUUGACACUGAACAUUGAGCCUUGAUGUGUAGGAUAGGUGGGAGGCUUUGAAGUGUGGACGCCAGUCUGCAUGGAGCCGGCCUUGAAAUACCACCCUUUAAUGUUUGAUGUUCUAACGUUGGCCCCUGACCGGGGUUGCGGACAGUGUCUGGUGGGUAGUUUGACUGGGGCGGUCUCCUCCUAAAGAGUAACGGAGGAGCACGAAGGUUGGCUAAUCCUGGUCGGACAUCAGGAGGUUAGUGCAAUGGCAUAAGCCAGCUUGACUGCGAGCGUGACGGCGCGAGCAGGUGCGAAAGCAGGUCAUAGUGAUCCGGUGGUUCUGAAUGGAAGGGCCAUCGCUCAACGGAUAAAAGGUACUCCGGGGAUAACAGGCUGAUACCGCCCAAGAGUUCAUAUCGACGGCGGUGUUUGGCACCUCGAUGUCGGCUCAUCACAUCCUGGGGCUGAAGUAGGUCCCAAGGGUAUGGCUGUUCGCCAUUUAAAGUGGUACGCGAGCUGGGUUUAGAACGUCGUGAGACAGUUCGGUCCCUAUCUGCCGUGGGCGCUGGAGAACUGAGGGGGGCUGCUCCUAGUACGAGAGGACCGGAGUGGACGCAUCACUGGUGUUCGGG
rnacentral:rRNA from 1 species